GAUGAACGCUAGCGGGAGGCCUAACACAUGCAAGCCGAGCGGUAGAGAUUCUUCGGAAUCUUGAGAGCGGCGUACGGGUGCGGAACACGUGUGCAACCUGCCUUUAUCAGGGGGAUAGCCUUUCGAAAGGAAGAUUAAUACCCCAUAAUAUAUUUGAUGGCAUCAUUAGAGAUUGAAAGCUUUGGCGGAUAGAGAUGGGCACGCGCAAGAUUAGAUAGUUGGUGAGGUAACGGCUCACCAAGUCGAUGAUCUUUAGGGGGCCUGAGAGGGUGAUCCCCCACACUGGUACUGCGACACGGACCAGACUCCUACGGGAGGCAGCAGUGAGGAAUAUUGGACAAUGGGUUAGCGCCUGAUCCAGCCAUCCCGCGUGAAGGACGACGGCCCUAUGGGUUGUAAACUUCUUUUGUACAGGGAUAAACCUACUCUCGUGAGAGUAGCUGAAGGUACUGUACGAAUAAGCACCGGCUAACUCCGUG
rnacentral:rRNA from 1 species